UGGUAAUUAUCAUUUUGGCUUUGAGAAACAGUCGUGAGGAGAGAGGGAGAGAGAGAGAAGCAUUUUAGUUGAGCCUAUCCUGCGCUCGUUCGUGUUUGCUGCGGUGACACGGUGCAGCACUUUUCCCUGUACCGAGCACCGCCAAGCAGCACCAGAGAGGCACCAAUACGUAAGGGGUCAAUUUUGAAAUGAAAUACGUACGUCAGCCAGCGGGGCGCCGGCAGCCACCGCCUGUGACGUCAUCAAUGGUCCUGGGACUCGCUCGGAUACAGUGUCUCCUGACUUAUUUGCUACAAACACAGCAUAAACUAGAAUCUAGGUUUUUACUCCAAGAUGAAAUGUUGGGACCUGAAAUUCUACACCACAAGGAAGUACAUACUUUCCUUAAAGCUGUACAGUCAUCACUGUACAAGUGUGUGACCCAUUGCACUGAGGGCUCAGAAUACAGACUCCAAGACUCACAUGAAGAAUGAUUUAAUAUUCGCAUCCAUAAGCUCAGUCGUCAUUUCUGCAACUUUUCCCUGUACCGAGCACCGCCAAGCAGCACCAGAGAGGCACCAAUACGUAAGGGGUCAAUUUUGAAAUGAAAUACGUACGUCAGCCAGCGGGGCGCCGGCAGCCACCGCCUGUGACGUCAUCAAUGGUCCUGGGACUCGCUCGGAUACAGUGUCUCCUGACUUAUUUGCUACAAACACAGCAUAAACUAGAAUCUAGGUUUUUACUCCAAGAUGAAAUGUUGGGACCUGAAAUUCUACACCACAAGGAAGUACAUACUUUCCUUAAAGCUGUACAGUCAUCACUGUACAAGUGUGUGACCCAUUGCACUGAGGGCUCAGAAUACAGACUCCAAGACUCACAUGAAGAAUAAUUUAAUAUUUGCAUCCAUAGGCUCAGUCGUCAUUUCUGCAACUUUUCCCUGUACCGAGCACCGCCAAGCAGCACCAGAGAGGCACCAAUACGUAAGGGGUCAAUUUUGAAAUGAAAUACGUACGUCAGCCAGCGGGGCGCCGGCAGCCACCGCCUGUGACGUCAUCAAUGGUCCUGGGACUCGCUCGGAUACAGUGUCUCCUGACUUAUUUGCUACAAACACAGCAUAAACUAGAAUCUAGGUUUUUACUCCAAGAUGAAAUGUUGGGACCUGAAAUUCUACACCACAAGGAAGUACAUACUUUCCUUAAAGCUGUACAGUCAUCACUGUACAAGUGUGUGACCCAUUGCACUGAGGACUCAGAAUACAGACUCCAAGACUCACAUGAAGAAUAAUUUAAUAUUCGCAUCCAUAGGCUCAGUCGUCAUUUCUGCAAGUAAGUGCCUGCCUAAGGUUGCCAUGGCUGUCUCUCUAGCACUGCACCUUGUGAUCCUUUGCCUGCUAAUCUUGCUCUCUUUAAUAAUUUUCAUCUUUCCAUUUCUAUUUGUAUGUUAGUGUAUAGCAAACCAUUUUCUAUUCUGUGUUGUUCCUUGAGGGUUUGUUAUCAUGAAAAGAACACUCAAGACGAAACAUGUCAACAUAAUUUAUUUAUUUUACUUAUUCAUGCCAUACAUGAGCGUACAUACACAGUAACAAUGUCCAGGUUGAACUGUACUGUAUAGCUAAAUAACUACUACUGACUACACGUAAACUGGCGAGUGGCAGAAGUGAUGCCAUGCUCACUCCAAACAAGGCGGAUGCCAGGCUGCUAAUCACAGAAAGUCCCAAGAAUUAAGGAUGUAAUGUCUUGUGUUUUGAAACAUUGAGAAACUGAUCUGGAGUCCACCUUGAGAGGUAAAGUGGCCAGGGAGUGAGCCCUUGACGGGACAUUCAAGGUUCAUGACACUUUACCAGCUGAGACAGGAUGGACCACCAAGACUCAAAUGAACGUUUGUCACCCUUGAUUGUCCCGCCACUACAUGGCUUCCCUCCUCCUGUUAGAUCAAUUUCUGGUGUUUCUAUGUCACACACACUUCUUGAGUUUUCCCUUCUUGGGUCUCCAUUUUCUUCCAUUUGUAGUGUUGUGUUUUUCUUUGGGGAUGCAGGUUGAUCCCCAGUGGUUCCUAAAGUAUUCUUCCUCAAGUUUCAAAUAGCUCACUGGGGAUCUUCACUACCUGCCAAUCACUGUUACAACUCGUGUUUUGAGACACUGAGAAACUGAUUUAGAGCUGGCUGUGGGAGGUGGAGCAGCCGGGAAGUGAACCCCUGACAGGACACUCAAGGAGCACAACACUUCACCAGUCAAGCCAAGAUGAUCAGCAAAGCCCAAGUGGAGUUUUGUUGCCCUUGACUGUCUUGUCACUACAAAGAAACUGGAGAGUCCCAGAUUUUCAUUGAUACGGGUGCCAAUUGCUAACAUUCUUGCAGCUAUGACCACACAGCUCUAUCAUCACUAAGGUCACAUCGCAGAGAACACUAUGUACAAAGAACUGAUGUAGGAUACUAUACACUUGAAAAAGAAGCUUGUCAUAUACACGUAAUAAUUUGAUGCUAGUCACGGAUCUUUUAGUUUCGGCCUGGAGUGAGCACAGCAGCAGGACUUACAUAAAACCAGCAACCUGCCCCUAUGGAGAUGCAUCCCAUUAAUUUCGUUCAGUUUUUUAGUGUACAAAUAAAUUAAGGUUAUUCUAUUAUGAAUGAUGUCUAAUAAUAAUUUGAAAAGUAAAACUGACUGUACUAAAAGUUUUGUGCAAGCGUUAUAUCUGAAAGAAAGUAGACAAGCAGUCUGACGCUGGGCCCGUCAGGUACACUAAAUUCACUGGGAUGCUAAGAAUCAUGCCUAUGUAGUCUUAUUUCCUAUUUGGUGAUCUAAAAAAUGUGAUGCUGUCAAAAAUGUCACUUAUUAUUUUACCUUUGAGCACCAUUCUAUGAAAGUCACAAUAGCAUUGCUAAUCUUUUAUUUUCCUCUCUGAUAUUCAUCGCUGAUUCAUAUUCUUGCUGAGCAAGACGAGAAUAGACCUAAAAACCUGCCUUCAUACCUUUGUAAUUUGUUUACCGAAUUCUCAAUUUUGAUAAAAAAUUAUCAGAAAUUACAAAACAGGUAAAAUGCAGCACUUUCAUGUCAUUGGUAAUAUGCACACUUUGUACUGUUCCUGUAACAAUAUUUUUGUGUAUGUUUUCACUUGUGUAAAAUGCACUUAACUGAUUACACUAGUAUAAUGUUAUCAAUCCAAUAGUGCCUAAAGCAGUUAGCUACACAUACGUAAAGUAUUAAAAAUGCUUCAAUCUGUAACAAAGACAAGACAAAUACAGGAAAGUGGUGGACCAUGGCCUUGCUGCCUGAGAGGAAUUAACCAUGACUGGCUCCUCCUCACCCUGAGGCAAUGACGCAACCCACAUCUUUUCUGCUGUGCCUUUCUUGUUACCAAGACAAAAUGUAAAACUUGCUGAAUAAAUUUUUGUUAAUAUCAUUAUUUAAUUUCAUUCUGGCAAGAACAGGAUACUCUUGCUCUCAUUUUCUUCCUAUUUCACAUAGUGUGUGUGUGUGUGUGUGUGUGUGUGUGUGUGUGUGUGUGUGUGUGUGUGUGUGUGUGUGUGUGUGUGUGUGUGUGUGUGUGUGUGUGUGUGUGUGUG